AUUGAACGCUGGCGGCAGGCCUAACACAUGCAAGUCGAGCGGAUGAAGGGAGCUUGCUCCUGGAUUCAGCGGCGGACGGGUGAGUAAUGCCUAGGAAUCUGCCUGGUAGUGGGGGAUAACGUCCGGAAACGGGCGCUAAUACCGCAUACGUCCUGAGGGAGAAAGUGGGGGAUCUUCGGACCUCACGCUAUCAGAUGAGCCUAGGUCGGAUUAGCUAGUUGGUGUGGUAAAGGCCUACCAAGGCGACGAUCCGUAACUGGUCUGAGAGGAUGAUCAGUCACACUGGAACUGAGACACGGUCCAGACUCCUACGGGAGGCAGCAGUGGGGAAUAUUGGACAAUGGGCGAAAGCAUGAUCCAGCAAUGCCGCGUGUGUGAAGAAGGUCUUCGGAUUGUAAAGCACUUUAAGUUGGGAGGAAGGGCAGUAAGUUAAUACCUUGCUGUUUUGACGUUACCAACAGAAUAAGCACCGGCUAACUUCGUG
rnacentral:rRNA from 1 species